GUAGGGGGCAAGCGUUAUCCGGAUUUACUGGGUGUAAAGGGAGCGUAGGCGGGAUCGCAAGUCAGAUGUGAAAACUAUGGGCUUAACCCAUAAACUGCAUUUGAAACUGUGGUUCUUGAGUGAAGUAGAGGUAAGCGGAAUUCCUAGUGUAGCGGUGAAAUGCGUAGAUAUUAGGAGGAACAUCAGUGGCGAAGGCGGCUUACUGGGCUUUAACUGACGCUGAGGCUCGAAAGCGUGGGGAGCAAACAGGAUUAGAUACCCUGGUAGUCCACGCCGUAAACGAUGAUUACUAGGUGUCGGGCNGCAAAGCUGUUCGGUGCCGCAGCAAACGCAAUAAGUAGUCCACCUGGGGAGU
rnacentral:rRNA from 1 species